rnacentral:rRNA from 1 species
AACGAACGCUGGCGGCAGGCUUAACACAUGCAAGUCGAGCGCCCUUUUCGGAGGGAGCGGCAGACGGGUGAGUAACGCGUGGGAAUCUACCUUUUGCUACGGAAUAACUCAGGGAAACUUGUGCUAAUACCGUAUGUGUCCUUCGGGAGAAAGAUUUAUCGGCAAGAGAUGAGCACGCGUUGGAUUAGCUAGUUGGUGGGGUAAAGGCCUACCAAGGCGGCGAUCCAUAGCUGGUCUGAGAGGAUGAUCAGCCACACUGGGACUGAGACACGGCCCAGACUCCUACGGGAGGCAGCAGUGGGGAAUAUUGGACAAUGGGCGCAAGCCUGAUCCAGCCAUGCCGCGUGAGUGAUGACGGUCUUAGGAUUGUAAAGCUCUUUCACCGGUGAAGAUAAUGACUGUAGCCGGAGAAGAAGCCCCGGCUAACUUCGUGCCAGCCGCCGCCGUAAGAC